rnacentral:rRNA from 1 species
AGUGGCGGACGGGUGAGUAACACGUAAGAAUUUGCCUUUAGGAGGGGGAUAACAACUGGAAACGGUUGCUAAUACCCCAUAUGCUUUCGAGUGAAAUGGAUUUCCGCCUAAAGAGAAGCUUGCGGCUGAUUAGCUUGUUGGUGAGGUAAUGGCUCACCAAGGCGACGAUCAGUAUCUGGUUUGAGAGGACGAUCAGACACACUGGAACUGAGACACGGUCCAGACUCCUACGGGAGGCAGCAGUGGGGAAUUUUCCGCAAUGGGCGAAAGCCUGACGGAGCAAUACCGCGUGAGGGAUGAAGGCCUAUGGGUUGUAAACCUCUUUUUUCAGGGAGGAACAAAAUGACGUGUACCUGAAGAAUAAGCAUCGGCUAACUCCGUGCCAGCAGCCGCGGUAAGACGGGGGAUGCAAGUGUUAUCCGGAAUCACUGGGCGUAAAGCGUCUGUAGGUGGUUAAGUAAGUCAACUGUUAAAUCUUGAGGCUUAACCUCAAAAUCGCAGUCGAAACUGCUUGACUAGAGUAUAGUAGGGGUAAAGGGAAUUUCCAGUGGAGCGGUGAAAUGCGUAGAUAUUGGAAAGAACACCGAUGGCGAAGGCACUUUACUGGGCUAUUACUAACACUGAGAGACGAAAGCUAGGGUAGCAAAUGGGAUUAGAUACCCCAGUAGUCCUAGCUGUAAACAAUGGAUACUAGAUGUUG